GGAGAAGGGAGCUGAGAGUUGGUACGCUUGGAAUAACGCUACACAGAGCGGAGAAGAGCAGCAUUUCGUUCUCAUUUGCAGAGAGUCACUUCAGCAUCAGAGCUGGAUAAGGCUGUCUCAGAGCCUGUCCUGCCUGAAGCCAUAUGCCAAGCUUGCCAGCCUUCAAGUCCAGCAGAGCUAACCCUGGCCCCUGGGUGUCCGAUACAGGAGCAAUGUCCACCGUGCCUCCAGCAGCCGCAUCGCCUGUACCGGCAAGAAGCCCCCUCCAUACCUCUGCUGCAAGCUGUGUCCCAAAAACCUCAGCCCCAUCUCCCCCCUUGAUUUUUUUGUAUGAGUACGAACUCAGAGCUAAAUCAAUCGAUUCCCAGCUUUCUGUACCGGGCCGCUUACCAUGCCCUGCUUUCCUUUGAGCUUUCCCUGCUCUGAAAAAAGAAGUCGGACUAAUCUAUAACGAUAUUUUGGAUGCUGUGUUUGGCA